ACCUACGGGAGGCAGCAGUGAGGGAUAUUGGUCAAUGGGAGAGAUCCUGAACCAGCCAAGCCGCGUGAGGGAAGACGGCCCUAUGGGUUGUAAACCUCUUUUGUCGGAGAACAAAACCCGGGACGAGUCCCGGACUGCGUGUAUCCGAAGAAAAAGCAUCGGCUAACUCCGUGCCAGCAGCCGCGGUAAUACGGAGGAUGCGAGCGUUAUCCGGAUUUAUUGGGUUUAAAGGGUGCGUAGGCGGUCCGUUAAGUCAGCGGUAAAAUCGUGGGGCCCAACCCCGUCCCGCCGUUGAAACUGGCGGG
rnacentral:rRNA from 1 species